UCUGGGGUCUCGAGAUUGCAGA
rnacentral:miRNA from 1 species